rnacentral:rRNA from 1 species
UUCGCAAUGCCCGAAAGGGUGAACGAGCGACGCCGCGUGCGGGAUGAAGGGUUUCGGCUUGUAAACCGCUUUUCUUUGGGAAGAAGGUCUGUCUCGUGAAGAUGGGCUCGACGGUACCAGAGGAAUAAGCCUCGGCUAACUCCGUGCCAGCAGCCGCGGUAAGACGGAGGAGGCGAGCGUUAUUCGGAAUCACUGGGCUUAAAGGGUGCGUAGGCGGCUUUUCAAGUCGGGUGUGAAAGCCCUCGGCUUAACCGAGGAAUAGCGCCCGAAACUGUUGAGCUUGAGGGACACAGAGGUAAGCGGAACUUAGGGUGGAGCGGUGAAAUGCGUUGAUAUCCUAAGGAACACCAGGAGCGAAAGCGGCUUACUGGACGUCUGCUGACGCUGAGACGCGAAAGCUAGGGGAGCAAACGGGAUUAGAUACCCCGGUAGUCCUAGCCGUAAACGAUGGGCACUAAGUAGAGGGGUUUU